rnacentral:rRNA from 1 species
GAUGAACGCUAGCGGGAGGCCUAACACAUGCAAGCCGAGCGGGAUUUGUUGGUUAGCUUGCUAACUAACAAUGAGAGCGGCGUACGGGUGCGUAGCACGUGUGCAACCUGCCUUUAUCUGGGGGAUAGCCUUUCGAAAGGAAGAUUAAUACCCCAUAACAUAUUGAUUGGCAUCAGUUAAUAUUGAAAGCUCCGGCGGAUAGAGAUGGGCACGCGUAAGAUUAGCUAGUUGGUGAGGUAACGGCUCACCAAGGCUGCGAUCUUUAGGGGGCCUGAGAGGGUGAUCCCCCACACUGGUACUGAGACACGGACCAGACUCCUACGGGAGGCAGCAGUGAGGAAUAUUGGACAAUGGGUGAGAGCCUGAUCCAGCCAUCCCGCGUGAAGGACUAAGGACCUAUGGUUUGUAAACUUCUUUUAUACAGGGAUAAACCUACUCUCGUGAGGGUAGCUGAAGGUACUGGAUGAAUAAGCACCGGCUAACUCCGUG